rnacentral:rRNA from 1 species
AUUGAACGCUGGCGGCAUGCCUUACACAUGCAAGUCGAACGGUAACAGGUCUUCGGAUGCUGACGAGUGGCGAACGGGUGAGUAAUACAUCGGAACGUGCCUAGUAGUGGGGGAUAACUACUCGAAAGAGUGGCUAAUACCGCAUGAGAUCUACGGAUGAAAGCAGGGGAUCGCAAGACCUUGUGCUACUAGAGCGGCCGAUGGCAGAUUAGGUAGUUGGUGGGAUAAAAGCUUACCAAGCCGACGAUCUGUAGCUGGUCUGAGAGGACGACCAGCCACACUGGGACUGAGACACGGCCCAGACUCCUACGGGAGGCAGCAGUGGGGAAUUUUGGACAAUGGGCGCGAGCCUGAUCCAGCCAUGCCGCGUGCAGGAUGAAGGCCUUCGGGUUGUAAACUGCUUUUGUACGGAACGAAAAGACUCCUUCUAAUAAAGGGGGUCCAUGACGGUACCGUAAGAAUAAGCACCGGCUAACUACGUGCCAGCCGCCGCUGUAAAAC